rnacentral:rRNA from 1 species
GUGGAUUAGAUACCCUGGUAGUCCUGGCCUUAAACGAUGGAUGCUUGGUGUCUGGAGUUUUAUAGUCUCCGGGUGCCGCAGCUAACGCGUUAAGCAUCCCGCCUGGGGAGUACGGUCGCAAGACUGAAACUCAAAGGAAUUGACGGGGACCCGCACAAGCGGUGGAGCAUGUGGUUCAAUUCGACGCAACGCGAAGAACCUUACCUGGGCUAGAAUGCCUCUGACAGCCCCAGAGAUGGGGUCUCUUAGGGAAACCUAGGCAGAGUGCAAGGUGCUGCACGGCUGUCGUCAGCU